rnacentral:rRNA from 1 species
GUGCAGCAGUCGCGAAAACUCCGCAAUGCGCGAAAGCGUGACGGGGUCACCCCGAGUGCCGUCCGCUGAGGAUGGCUUUUGCCUGGUCUAACCAGCCGGGUGAAUAAGGGGAGGGCAAGUCUGGUGUCAGCCGCCGCGGUAAUACCAGCUCCCCGAGUGGUUGGGACGAUUAUUGGGUCUGAAGCGUCCGUAGCGGGCCGGAAAAGUUCCCCGUUAAAUCUGGCGAUCCAAUCGUUGGGCUGCGGGGAAUAGUCUUCGGCGUGGGGGCGAGGGAGGUCGGCGGUAGUCCCGGGGUAGAGGCGAAAUCCGAUAAUCCCGGGAGGACCACCAGUGGCGAAGGCUGUUGGCUAGAACACGCCCGA